GCCCGAGCUCCGCCUUCCGCUGCAGCUCCGAGAUUCGCUCCAGAGCGCUCGCGAAGCCGCCUGAGCGCGCCCGAGGAGCGGAGGAGUCGAGGGCCGCGCUCUCGGAGCCACUCUCCGUGCUGGCCUUUCGAAAGGGCUUGGAGAAGAGAAGCGCUCUUAGGAAUCGGCUCCCUGCAGCCCCGGCAUGGGAGCCACACAGCGCCGCCAUGACGCCUGCGCGAACUCUCACCUCUGGCCUCUUGCGCACGUGCGCGGGUCAGGGGGCGGGUCGCGGAUAGCCCCGCCCACCACCUUGGCGCCCGGCAAGCCGGCGGGGUAGGAGGGCUUAUGGCAGGUGCCUGACCACUAGCGGACCGCUGAGGGCGUGGAGAAGAUUCAUGCCGCUCACAGACCUCAUCAGAAGAGUUUCUUUGCCCAGUAGAUGGUGGUUAACAAGGAACGACUGUCACAGUGUCUGAAACCUGUGCCUGUGGCGUGCUCAGCCACAAAGGGGACAUCUGCAUCACCAUUACCACCCCAAGGCUCAGGGACCGUCCUGGAAAACCUGUAUGACCGGGAUGGACAGUGGGAUAGGAAAACUCUGAAUGGAAUCAG